AGACAGCAGCCGCCACGGUAAAACGUAGGGUGCAAGCGUUAAUCGGAAUUACUGGGCGUAAAGCGUGCGCAGGCGGUUAUAUAAGACAGAUGUGAAAUCCCCGGGCUCAACCUGGGAACUGCAUUUGUGACUGUAUAGCUAGAGUACGGCAGAGGGGGAUGGAAUUCCGCGUGUAGCAGUGAAAUGCGUAGAUAUGCGGAGGAACACCGAUGGCGAAGGCAAUCCCCUGGGCCUGUACUGACGCUCAUGCACGAAAGCGUGGGGAGCAAACAGGAUUAGAUACCCGGGUAGUCCCUGUCUCUUAUAC
rnacentral:rRNA from 1 species